rnacentral:rRNA from 1 species
CCUACGGGAGGCAGCAGUGGGGAAUAUUGCACAAUGGGGGGAACCCUGAUGCAGCGACGCCGCGUGAGUGAAGAAGUAUUUCGGUAUGUAAAGCUCUAUCAGCAGGGAAGAAAAUGACGGUACCUGACUAAGAAGCCCCGGCUAACUACGUGCCAGCAGCCGCGGUAAUACGUAGGGGGCAAGCGUUAUCCGGAUUUACUGGGUGUAAAGGGAGCGUAGACGGUUAUGCAAGUCUGAAGUGAAAGCCCAAGGCUCAACCAUGGGACUGCUUUGGAAACUGUAAAACUGGAGUGCAGGAGAGGUAAGCGGAAUUCCUUGUGUAGCGGUGAAAUGCGUAGAUAGAAGGAAGAACACCAGUGGCGAAGGCGGAUGCCUGGACGGCAACUGACGGGGAGGCGCGAAAGCGUGGGGAGCAAACAGGAUUAGAUACCCGGGGAGUC